rnacentral:rRNA from 1 species
GACGAACCGAGCGAACGUUAUUCGGAAUCACUGGGCUUAAAGGGCGCGUAGGCGGGCGAUCAAGUCAGGGGUGAAAGCCCCCAGCUCAACUGGGGAAGUGCCUCUGAUACUGGUCGUCUCGAGGGAGGUAGGGGCGUGCGGAACUUCCGGUGGAGCGGUGAAAUGCGUAGAUAUCGGAAGGAACAUCAGUGGCGAAAGCGACUUCCUGGACCAGUACCGACGUUCAGGCACGAAAGCGUGGGGAGCAAACAGG